AACGUAGGUGGCAGGCGUUGUCCGGAAUUACUGGGGUGUAAAGGGAGCGCAGGUGGUUGAUUAAGUCUGAUGUGAAAGCCCACGGCUUAACCGUGGAGGGUCAUUGGAAACUGGUCGACUUGAGUGCAGAAGAGGGAAGUGGAAUUCCAUGUGUAGCGGUGAAAUGCGUAGAGAUAUGGAGGAACACCAGUGGCGAAGGCGGCUUCCUGGUCUGUAACUGACACUGAGGCGCGAAAGCGUGGGGAGCAAACAGGAUUAGAUACCCGGGUAGUCCCU
rnacentral:rRNA from 1 species